AAGAGGUAAGCUUGCUUACUUCUUAGUGGCGAACGGGUGAGUAAUACAUAAGCAAUCUGCCCAUAUGCCUGGGAUAACCGUUGGAAACGAUGGCUAAUACCGGAUAGGUGAAUUGAAGGCAUCUUUGAUUCAUUAAAGUUGGGAAACAACACAUAUGGAUGAGCUUAUGGCGCAUUAGCUAGUUGGUGAGGUAACGGCUCACCAAGGCGAUGAUGCGUAGCCGACCUGAGAGGGUGACCGGCCACACUGGGACUGAGACACGGCCCAGACUCCUACGGGAGGCAGCAGUAGGGAAUUUUCGGCGAUGGGGGAAACCCUGACCGAGCAACGCCGCGUGAGUGAAGAAGGCCUUCGGGUUGUAGAGCUCUGUUGUAAGGGAAGAAGAGAUCAUAGAGGGAAUGCUAUGAUUGUGACGGUACCUUACCAGAAAGCCACGGCUAACUACGUGCCAGCAGCCGCGGUAAUACGUAGGUGGCGAGCGUUAUCCGGAAUUAUUGGGCGUAAAGGGUGCGUAGGCGGCGCAUUAAGUCUAAGGUUAAAGUUCGAGGCUCAACUUCGGAUUGCCUUAGAAACUGGUGAGCUACAGUGCAGGAAAGGGCAAUGGAAUUCCAUGUGUAGCGGUAAAAUGCGUACAUAUAUGGAGGAACACCAGUGGCGAAGGCGGUUGCCUGGCCUGUAACUGACGCUGACGCACGAUAGCGUGGGGAGC
rnacentral:rRNA from 1 species